UGUAAUUAUUUAUUUUAAAAAAUAAUGAUUUAAAUUCAAGUAUUCAAAUUAAAGUAAAAUUAUCGUCGACAGAAGAUAUUUACCGAACACGCAGACUGCAUAAUUUUGAAGAUGUACAAAAUUGGCAAUUCAUUCAUUCAUUUCGUUAUUUAAUAAAUAUUUAUUUCAUUUUUGAAUGAUAAUGCAGCGAGGCUUAUGCAAAGGUGUGACCGCAAGUGCCAAAUUAAAUGCGGGCCAGAUUCUGCGGUCCAGAAGCGGGAGGGUUGACGGACACCAACACUUUACUGCCCAGCAGAAGCCUGCGUCUGGCCCAUCAAUAAAUGAUCCCUACUUAGGCCGCGUUCAGAUUAGUUUAUUUUGAGUAAUUUUAUGUCGGUGGAUGUGAAACAAAUUUUAUAUAAUACAGCAUGAAAGAGAAUGUUUAAGUGAUUAUGGGAAUUGCUGGCCAAAAAAAA